ensembl:lncRNA
UGCACUUCUGUGCUUCUCCCAGGCCUUCUUGGUGACUUAGUCUGCCGGAGACUGGUGAUGUUGCCUCAUACUCCCUCCUCAUUGGCUGGAUCAGAAACCAGCAUCUGUAAAGCCUCUUUGUCAUCGGAUGUCUCUAGUUCAGCUUUUGUGGUGGAGAGCACACACGACUCACGAAGUACAUCGCUGUGUACUCAGAAAUAUGGACUCACCCAGUCUUCACACUGGUCCUCUGAGGUGGUAUCACCAUUCAUACUAGGGAUGGGGAAGCCGGCGCAGAAGCUCUAAGGAACCUGUGUGAAGUCCCAGGAGUCAAAGAUAAAGCCACAGUGGGCAUCCGAGCACCCCGGUUUCAGAGGAGGGUGAUGUAACCGUCUGCCCUGUGCCUCUCAUUGCUGGUGGGGCAAUACACACACACACACACACACACACACACACAUGCAUACAUACAUACAUGCAUAUGUACUUCAUAUGACCACUGUCACUACCCACAUGGGACAACUGAAGGAGUCUGCCUGGACUUUUCCUCCAUCUUUCCCCACAUCCUGCAUGCAUCCUGUCUUAGGGAUGGGGGUCUGCUGCUGUCGCUGAGUGUGCCCUUUCCUCUCAGGUCCUGAGGGAUGAAGUCUGCGCAGACAGCUGUGUGGACAGCCCAGGGUCCACGGGGGACGUAAUGCCUGGUGUCGUCUGGGAGACUCCAGAUCUUGAUUUACGUCUUCAGCGUCACAAAGCGCCUUCCAGGAGCACUGUGGCGGUUAUCAGAAUCGGUUUACAGGGCAGGACGGUUGCUACGGCUCCCGGUUCAGAGGUUUCAGCCUAUAGUCCCUUGGCUCCAUCUCCUGGGGUUAUAGUGAGGCAGAUCAUCAUGGCGAGACACGGGGGGAGAAAACAAACUGCUCAUCUUGUGGCUGCCUGGAAGCAAGGAAAGAGGAAGGGUCCAGAGACUCUAUGUCCCCAACUGCUGAUUUCCUUCUGUCCUCCACCUCCUAAUGCCCCUGCCUUCUCUUAGUAAUGUCCUGGCAGGAACCAAGCCUUUGAUAUUCUUGGUAGCCUUCAGGACAGAGGCUGUAAACCAGAAAGCGAUGUAUGUACAGGUUACCACAGACUGCAGAGAUGCUUCCAAAAUGCAUCUGCUUCAAGCCACUGGCCUGUGGCCUGCAUUUCUUCUGUAAAUGAACUUGAAUUUGAAUCUUCUGAAGUUCAAAUGGCGUGUCUGUGCUCGCUCUGCGGCCUGCAUGACUCUUUCUUUGGAUUUUCUAAAAUGUUACUUAAAGAGAAAAACUUGCAUAAUUAUAAA